rnacentral:rRNA from 1 species
ACGAACGCUGGCGGCGUGCUUAACACAUGCAAGUCGAACGGAAAGGCCCUGCUUUUGUGGGGUGCUCGAGUGGCGAACGGGUGAGUAACACGUGAGUAACCUGCCCUUGACUUUGGGAUAACUUCAGGAAACUGGGGCUAAUACCGGAUAGGAGCUCCUGCUGCAUGGUGGGGGUUGGAAAGUUUCGGCGGUUGGGGAUGGACUCGCGGCUUAUCAGCUUGUUGGUGGGGUAGUGGCUUACCAAGGCUUUGACGGGUAGCCGGCCUGAGAGGGUGACCGGCCACAUUGGGACUGAGAUACGGCCCAGACUCCUACGGGAGGCAGCAGUGGGGAAUAUUGCACAAUGGGCGGAAGCCUGAUGCAGCAACGCCGCGUGCGGGAUGACGGCCUUCGGGUUGUAUACCGCUUUCGCCUGUGACGAAGCGUGAGUGACGGUAAUGGGUAAAGAAGCACCGGCUAACUACGUG